rnacentral:rRNA from 1 species
AGGACGAACGCUGGCGGCGUGCUUAACACAUGCAAGUCGAACGGUAAGGCCCCUUCGGGGGGUACACGAGUGGCGAACGGGUGAGUAACACGUGAGCAACCUGCCUCUGACAUUGGAAUAACAGUUGGAAACAGCUGCUAAUACCGGGUAUGACCUGUCACCGCAUGGUGGUGGGUGGAAAGCCUUGGCGGUCAGAGGAUGGGCUCGCGGCCUAUCAGCUAGUUGGUGAGGUAUGGCUCACAAGGCUUCGACGGGUA